rnacentral:rRNA from 1 species
GGCGAACGCUGGCGGCGUGCUUAACACAUGCAAGUCGAACGAAGAGCGAUGGAAGCUUGCUUCUAUCAAUCUUAGUGGCGAACGGGUGAGUAACGCGUAAUCAACCUGCCCUUCAGAGGGGGACAACAGUUGGAAACGACUGCUAAUACCGCAUACGAUCUAAUCUCGGCAUCGAGGAUAGAUGAAAGUUGCCCUCUACAUGUAAGCUAUCACUGAAGGAGGGGAUUGCGUCUGAUUAGGUAGUUGGAGGGGUAACGGCCCACCAAGGCGAUGAUCAGUAGCCGGUCUGAGAGGAUGGACGGCCACAUUGGGACUGAGACACGGCCCAGACUCCUACGGGAGGCAGCAGUGGGGAAUCUUACGCAAUGGACGAAAGUCUGACGGAGCAACGCCGCGUGAGUGAUGACGGCCUUCGGGUUGUAAAGCUCGGUUAAUCGGGACGAAAGGCCUUCUUGCGAAUAGUGAGAAGGAUUGACGGUACCGGAAUAGAAAGCCACGGCUAACUACGUG